GAUGAACGCUGGCGGCGUGCCUAAUACAUGCAAGUCGAGCGAACAGACGAGGAGCUUGCUCCUCUGACGUUAGCGGCGGACGGGUGAGUAACACGUGGAUAACCUACCUAUAAGACUGGGAUAACUUCGGGAAACCGGAGCUAAUACCGGAUAAUAUAUUGAACCGCAUGGUUCAAUAGAGAAAGACGGUUUUGCUGUCACUUAUAGAUGGAUCCGCGCCGCAUUAGCUAGUUGGUAAGGUAACGGCUUACCAAGGCAACGAUGCGUAGCCGACCUGAGAGGGUGAUCGGCCACACUGGAACUGAGACACGGUCCAGACUCCUACGGGAGGCAGCAGUAGGGAAUCUUCCGCAAUGGGCGAAAGCCUGACGGAGCAACGCCGCGUGAGUGAUGAAGGUCUUCGGAUCGUAAAACUCUGUUAUUAGGGAAGAACAAAUGUGUAAGUAACUAUGCACGUCUUGACGGUACCUAAACAGAAAGCCACGGCUAACUACGU
rnacentral:rRNA from 1 species